UACGUAGGGGGCGAGCGUUGUCCGGAUUUAUUGGGCGUAAAGAGCGUGUAGGCGGCCAGGUAGGUCUGCUGUGAAAACUCGAGGCUCAACCUCGAGACGUCGGCGGAAACCAUCUGGCUAGAGUCCGGAAGAGGAGAGUGGAAUUCCCGGUGUAGCGGUGGAAUGCGUAGAGAUCGGGAAGAACAUCAGUGGCGAAGGCGGCCUGCUGGGCUGUUGCUGACGCUGAGGCGCGACAGCGUGGGGAGCAAACAGG
rnacentral:rRNA from 1 species